rnacentral:rRNA from 1 species
AUGACGGUACCGGAAGAAUAAGCACCGGCUAACUACGUGCCAGCAGCCGCGGUAAUACGUAGGGUGCGAGCGUUAAUCGGAAUUACUGGGCGUAAAGCGUGCGCAGGCGGUUUUGUAAGACAGGCGUGAAAUCCCCGAGCUCAACUUGGGAAUGGCGUUUGUGACUGCAAGGCUAGAGUAUGUCAGAGGGGGGUAGAAUUCCACGUGUAGCAGUGAAAUGCGUAGAGAUGUGGAGGAACACCGAUGGCGAAGGCAACCCCCUGGGACGGCACUGACGCUCAUGCACGAAAGCGUGGGGAGCAAACAGGAUUAGAUACCCUGGUAGUCCACGCCCUAAACGAUGUC